rnacentral:lncRNA from 1 species
ACAGAAAGCAGUACUGGAAUAGCUCUUAACAACAUUACUAGACAGUAUUUGGAUCAAUGAGCUGUUUUUUGGACCAACACAUCUAGGGGUUUUGAACUGGCUCACCGCGCCUCCUAAUCCAACGAAAUGAUCCAAUAUCUUAUGAAAGGUUCCCCUCUUCACAAUCAUCAGUUCAAGUGCUCCAAUUGCAUUCACUUUCCUGGAGCUCACGUAGCCUGCAUCCAGGAACGAUUUGUCCAGACAGUUGCAGCACUCUUGCAAUAUUUCAUCAGUUGCUUCCCCACUCAGUUCCCAAAAGAUAACGUAGUGUCCUGGAUCAGCUGAGACGUUGACAUGGCUGGUGAAGUCCAUACUUCUAGUUUUUCGUCAACUGAGUGCUUGCCUGAAGCUUCCACGGCUAGUUGCAAAUCUUUCUCAGUGUUCUUGUCUAUGUUAAUGCUCAGCAAAAGGUUCCUUCUGCAGACAAACUGGAGUUCUGGAGUGCCAUUGUGGAAUCCUUUUAUCUUGACAACAUCACCUAGUCUGUAACGAUAUAAACCUGCAUAUAUAAACACAUAACUCUCGUCAAUUAUACUUUCAGGACAUAUAGCUAAACUCGUAUUUGACGCAAUAGAUAGACCGAUAGGUAGGUAAUUUGAAUAAAUCUGUUAAGUGUAGUAGAUGUGGAACAACAAGACAGAAUCUGUUAAGUGUAGUAGAUGCAAGUAUUGCAGAAUAAAUGAGCACAACAGAACAUGGACAAAAAAUAUGUUAAUUCCAAAAUAAGGCAUAAAAACAAAUGAUAAAAUAUUUUCUAUAUAAGCAGAACUUAGUAUUUGAUGUCAGGCAGGCAUAUGUAAGUAAUCACAUUUCCUGCAAUAUUGCCAUAAAGAACGAAUACUAAGUUGAGAGGAAUCGACUCAGUCAGCUGAAUUACAUGAAGUCACUAAGAUUAGUGCAGAACUCGUUAACCAUGAAAAAUAACUGAAUAAUAAGACUGUGUUCCUAUAAAUGAUCAACAAGCAUAGAAUUUUCAAGAAAAGACGUGCAAGAAAAUUGUACCUGCGAAAUUGGUGAAGACAAUUUCAUACUCUUCACCAAGUUUAACUUCAGUCAGCCCAACUGAAGAAUUUGCUUGCUCCACGCCAAUGAGAUUUUCCUCGAGUGGAAGGAAUUCAAAAUAGCCAAUAUUUGGUAACACUGCAUAAGUAACCAUCUCAGGGGGGAAUUUCGGGUUAACAUUUACUCCGACCCAUCCUUCAGAAGAACCAUAAUCUGCACUCAAUAGAGGUAAUUCUCCUGCAUAGUGCCUCAGUUUCUUCAAGUAAGGCUCCAUCGAACCUGUCAUGAUACCAUAAAUGUACUUUGUAUUCGGGAAGAGUUCAGGAAUCAAGCCGUACCAAUUGCUUAAACUUGAACAUUUGCUAUAAAUUGUUUCAGCCAAUUCUGGAUCAGGCUUCAACAAUUUUGAUGAAACAACUUGAACUUCAUCGCGGAAAAUGAGACCAGACAGAAGGUGACAGUAUAAGGAUUGUUGAAAAUCAGGACCAAAUAUCACUUGAUCAGGACUACAAACUGGGGUAGACAUUGCCUUCAUUGUCUUCUUGAAUUGUGCAUUUCUAUACACAUUGGUAGUGGCUGUUCCAGCUGCCAAACCACCUUUAGUUUUAAACUGCUUGCUGCUGUAAAUAAACUGCAAAGCCUUUCCAUUCCCAAUGGGAAAUUCUCUGAAAGAAAAAAACAUAGGCUAUAUGAUGUAUUUGUGACCAAAAAAAACUUCAUGAACCAACAAGCAAAUUACCUGUUCCUAAAGGCAAAAGAAGUCUUGAAUGUCUGCAUUGUGGAAUUCAUCAAUUCAUCAUUGAAAGGUACAAACUUUGGCUUCCCUUGAGUAGUACCAGAACUGCAAAUUAACCAUUAUAUUUCCUCUUUAAACAUACAACAAUAUACCGCUCACAAGUGGGGUCUGGAAAAAAAAAAGAGAAACUUUUUUGCUUACCUCAAGGAGAUGGCUUGAAUGGGCUUUCCCGUAAGAAUAGGUGAAAGAUCACCAUCAGCAAUUCUUUGAAUGUAAGGAUCCAAAUCACUGUGACAGACUAUGGGGACACAAGCCUUGAAAGUCUCAACAUCAGUUCUGCCAUUCAGACCCCAUUGCUUCAAAUACUCUGUUCCCCCAUUUUCUUUCAGAAUUUUCUCAAGUGUCUCUUCUUGAAUCCUCCCAGCAUCUUUUGUCAUCACCUCAAAAUCCUCAAUCACUUCUUCUGCAUCAAAUAUCUUCUCAAUAUUUUUCAUCAUCUUCACAAUCAAGACUUCAACUUUAAGCAAUAGCAGUCAAGUAAAAGCAGUCAAGAAUCCUCAAUUUGAGAGAUGGGGUUGGGGGUUAAGAAGAAUUUAAGCAACUCCAUAGUUAUUACUAACUUCAUUGCAACUUACCUCAUAAAAAGAAUUGACAGAAAUAAAGGAAACAUGUUUGUAACAGAUAAUCAUACUCAUUAUCUUCGUUUUAUUCUUAAGUUACAAAGAUGAAUCUAGAUAUUGAAAGUACCGAGAUAAUUGUUAUUUUUAAUGCAGGCGUUUCAUUUUUUUUCUUCAACCACUAUAGACACGUCAAUUAUUUACAUAAAGUUGGGACAUAAUUCUAUGAAAAAAUUGGGUUGUAACUACUAAAUUUGAUUGUGUUUGACUUUUGGAGACUAAAAUCUUCUGAUUUUUUUACUCAUUUGGUUUGAAGAAUAUAAGAACUUCACAAAUAAAUCAGACUAUGCAUUGGUUUGAAAAAUAUAGAAACUUCACCAAUUUGUUUAAUACUUUAUUUGAAUGAAUAUUUUGACUUGAAGAGAACUAAAUCCUCGUAGGAAUAUUAAGGCUAAAUGAUUUGAGAAAGAUAAAAUCUUCAUGUUAGCUAGAAACAAUGUUAUAAUUGAGAUUUCUGGAGAUCAAAACCUUUUUGGUUUACUAUUUUGUCUGAAUGUAGAACUGAUAUAUAAAUUUCAUCAAAAUUCAAGAUUCAUUUUAACGAUUAGAAAAAUAUAAAAACUUUAUUGUUAAAUUAGAAACAAGUUGUAUAAAGAUUGAAUCUUUAUUGUUAGUAUUCUAAAUACUAAGUGGUAUGUCUAGUUGUGACAGAAAGGAAAAACAAACACUAGUCACAUAAAAUUAGUGAUUUUUGUGCCUGCAAUGGGUGUUUCUAUGGAUUAAAUCUCCAAAAGAAGGCUUCGUGUUGUCAAUGUGUAUUUUGAUGAUAUACAAGUUCCAAGCAUGGAAAUAAAAUAUGUGAAAAAUAAUUUUAAAUACUUGAAAAAUAUUUUUGAAAACAUAUUUAAAAUGUGCGGGUUCUUUACUUGUGAUAAAGACAAUUUGGAGUAUAUUUGAUACAGUGGUUGUUGAGUUUCUCUUUACUAGUAUAUGAUAUGAAUAGUAUAAAACCACAAAAAUAUAUUACUCUUUCAAAGGAAUUGUAUUCUUUAAUGAAAUAGAGUCACUUAAAAUAUUUGAUUUUUCAUGAAAAGAUAUGUCUAUUGUAUAGAAUGAACAUUGGUAAAAAUAAUUUGUUAUGCUUGUAUUGUAAAACAAAUAUUUCGGUCAUAUUGUCUUUAUUGGACCUAAAAGACUAUGUUCACGAAUUAUUCUAUAACACUAAAAAAAUAGUGUUUAGCGACGAACACAAUCCGUCACUAUAUGAUGAAAAUUCGUCACUAAUCACGAUUAGCGGCGAAUUAGCAAUGGAAUAUUGAUUGUUGUUAUUAUGCUCAUUAGUAAGCUCUUAGUGACGAAAAAUGUGUUCCGUCACAAGUUUAGCAACGUCCUAGUGACGAAUAACUUCCGUCGCCAUAUGUUGGCGACGGACUUAGUCGUCAUUAUAUUUAUAUAAUUUUAUUGCUAAUUUCAUAAUUCUAUGACGAAAAAUGAUGUUUCAUCUCAAUUUUAGCGACAUCAAAGUGACAAAACAUUUUCGUUGCCACAUGUUAGCGACGGACUGAUUCGUCAUUAUAUUUAUAUAGUUUUGUUGCUAAUUUCAUAAUUCAUUUCGUUAUUUUGGAUAAAUUUGCAACAAAAUUUCCGUCACAACAUAUUUUGUAACAACAUAUUAGGCCUUUUAAUAAUUCGUCGUUGAUCCGUCGCCAACAUUCUUUUUACAGCAACAACCAAAUAGUCGCAAAAUUUGUUGCUAAAAGUUGUUCUUAUGCAAUGCUGAAAUAUAUUAAAUUAAAAUUACUAAAUACUCUAAAAUUAACAAACAUUCAUAUAAUAUAAUACCCAUAGAUGAUUCAUAAUAUAUAAAUAGAAAACUCUAAAACAACAUAUUUCUGGUUUAAAAUAUCCAAAGAAAACUAUCAAGUACUCUUAAAUGAACUUGUGUUCAUCAAAAUAUUACUACGCGCAAUUUCUAGUUUCCAAAAAGUAUGACAAUAUCAAAAAUUGAAGUUGUGGAAUUAUCAACUUGAAAUUGAGGUGUCAACCUCGUCCACGUUACUAGCAGGAGGCAUGGGCGCCGCAGACGAUGGAUUGCCGAAUGAAGUAAUCGAUAUUUGUACCAGCUCAAUAAUAAUAGAAACAAGAUGACUAGUUAGUGCAGACUUUAUUUUCUUUACAAACUCUUCCAUAUUUAUUUUCGAUGUUGAUUGAGAAAAUGGAUGUGGUAAUGAUGAUGACCCACAAAGUUUCUUUCAAUAGUAUUUUUUUGCUUCAGAUCCAAGACCGUAUAUUCUUCUUUUCUUUUCUCCUCCCGCAGCUUGGUAAUAUGCUUCAUAUUGAUCAAUAUCAGUUUCAAAUAAUGUUUUUCCCUUUAAUAUUUCUUCAUAUUUUCCUAUAAUAAGUAGAGAAAAUGAGAAAAUAUUAAUGAUAUGGGACAAACCAAAUUUUGAAGGAAAAUGGAGAAAAUCCACAAACUCAUGCUCAGUACAGAGUAGAGAGUGGAAGAGACACUAAGAAUAAAGAUGUCCCUUUCAGAUAAGUUUGGUACAAUUCCAUAUGAUUCUUUAAAACAUAUCAGCUGCUCUUUACAAAGAUAAAGUAGUAUAUGUGAGUGAAGGAUGAGGCAUCCCUUUUAAACUGAGCAAACUGAUAGAAAUAAAAUACUUCACAAGUUGACUUCUCUACUUCUACGAGGAAAAUGGAAUUCAUAGAUGUGUACACCAUUUGUCUAGAAUUUGGCAUACUCUCUAAUAGAACUUAUCAAUACCAUCAAAUCAAAUCAUGUACUUGACAAAAAACGCACCACUAUCUGGUGUACCAGUUGUUGUGUCUGUGGUAAUAAACAGUGGGUAGCCAAGUAAUUGGUAACAGCAUCCACCCAAGAGAAGAUCAUGUCAAGAUGAGCUAUCUCUUAUUACAAAUGUGUCAAGUAGAAGUGCAAUAGUUUUAAGCAUGAGUUUGUGUUUUUAGCAACAUAUAAUUAUACCCACACCAGCAAAAGUAGUUCCCCAGAGUAUAAGCAUUAUGAAACAAUGGGGUUUGGACUCUUUGCUACACCCACAUGGUCAAUAAUUAUAUGCUAAUUGAGACUUGUGCCACAUAGACAAUGACAACUAACUAUACAGGAAAAUCCCCCUCCCCAACACCCCACCAUAACACGUGCUCAGUUCAUCAGUGAUUGACUUUUGGAAGCUAGCUCGAGUCAAGUACCUUUCAAUAUGAUAUAUCAAGCUUGUAUAAUGUAUACUGGAGAGUACUUGAUCGAGGUUACAUUACACUGAAACAGUAACAACAAAUUCUCACUAAAAUAAGACUAGAAUCAAAGUAAAACAACUAUUGAUUGGUCCAUGUAGAUAUAUGACUGUCACAUGGGAAUUCACAACCAAAUAUGUCUCUUUGUUCCAAUCGUCGUGCUGCACUAGAGUCACAUUAAAACAACACGAGAAUCACAUCAAAACAACACUAAAAUUUCAGCAAAAAAGCCUCAAAACAGUGGCAGUAGUUUCUCUCUAAAACGACACUAGAAUCGCAUCGAAAAGUCUCAAAACAUCAUUAGAACUAUACCAAACAGCAGUAACAAAUACACUUUAAAACAAGAAAAAAUUGCACCAUAAACUCCAGUAGGAAAGAAUCGAAACACCUCCAAGUCGCGAGAACGCUCACCAACAAAUGAUUUUUCAUCAUGUCCAUGUGUAUAAACAUGUAGAUGUAACUCACUUGGCUUGGGAUCUUGGCCUUUUUCAAUAGCCUAUACAAAAGAAAUCGUGUUAUAUAUCAUAUAAGAGAAGAUGUUAGUUAUAGAGUUUGUAGAAUAUAUAUACUCAAAAGUUUCUUGUUAUCUUCUCCGAUAGAAAUAGAGCCAUCAGUGUGAGUCCUAAUAGCAGCUUUACGGCCCCCAUGACGAUUUUGCGAAUUAAUUUCUAGUUUCCUAAUAACUCUGCACUUCCCCAAAGCUCCAUCCAUCUUUCUCACACAUCUUCUUGGUACAUAACUUGGCCCAACUUCUCCUUUUUUUAUUUUAGAAAUGAAAUUCCUAUAGUUCAAUGUUGCCUUAACCAUCCAGUGUGUUUUGACUUCGUUUUAACUAAUGGAAACAUUCCAGAAAAAUCUUUUUUGAAAUAAGAUUUGAAAGUAGUACAUUAAUGUCCUAUCUAUAUACGUGAAUACACUUGCAAAAAUCACUUACGAUGAAAACUUAUACCCUAAAUUCUUCAAAAUAAUCAUUUCUUACAUCAUUUGAGACACCUUUCCAAUUGAUUCAAUUGGGAUCAACCUCACUUUUAAAAGAUUUGGAUAUAAAACUAAUGCAUAUUUGAGAAGGUUCUAGUCUGUAUAAAUUAGAAGAGGUUAUUAGGAGGGCUAUCAUAAAUCAAAAUUCAAAGACAGCAAGUUGUUGGAUUUUAAAAAGGUGUGAAUGGAAAAUGAAGAGUUGUGACUAUUAUGAAAUGUUGCGAAUUUUAUGAAAAGUUGUGACUUUUAUGGAAAGUUGUGUUUUUUAUGAAAGGUGACGACCUUUCUGAAAGAUUGUGACUUUUCCAAAGGUUUGUGACCUUUCCGGUAAGGCACAAUAAGAACCUUUUCGCACUAUCCUUUGUUGUCUAUAAAUUGAGGGAUUUCCUCUUAUUUUAAAUAUAAUUUAUGGACUUCUUCUUCAACUACUAAAUCUAGUAUUCUAAGUGAACUUUACUGUCGUUGAGUGGUUCGCUAACACCUGAGUUUUUGGUAUCUAUACACUGGUGAUUGAGAUCACUUUACCCUGGGAGGUCAUAUUCCAAAUCAAACCUCGGAUACUAGAGGGGAGUAAUUUCCUUAAGGGGACACUGUGAAUUCAGUGGACUUGAUCUUUUUCCUAUUAAAAAUUUUCCAGAUUCUGGUACGUGUUUUACAAACUUUAGAUUUGUGAAUUAAUUUCAGUUCUUCUAUUCUUUUGUUUUUCACUGGUUCAUUAAACUUGGUAACUUCGUGUUUCUGCAAAGUUUGUUGGAAUCAGUAAGAUUUUUUAGACACAUAUUAACAACAAUUCUUCUUUAUGAAAAAUAUUUCGUAAAUUUUUUCUAAAAAAAACUGUUUUUGAUUCUAGUUUCGCUAAUAGUUUUAAUUUUCUAGUUGUGAAAAUGUUCUUAAACUUUGUUUUCUUACAAAGAUGUUCAAAGUUUUGUUCUAAGUAUGUUUGGAAUACAAGAUGAACAACAAUCUUAAGGAAAUUAUUAUGCUGUUAGUAUUUUUUUGUAUUCUACUGAUUGAGAGAAUCUGAUCAUUAAAGUAGAAGAUAAAUGCAUUACUUCUCUAUAAUUCGUUGCUUUAUUUUAACAAAGUCGAAGUGAGAAUUUAACAAAAAAAAUUUAUGGUAUUCCGUUUAAAGAUUAUCAGGUAACCUCCUUAUUAAAUUAUCUAAGUAGGAAAAUAGUUUCUAAGAGUAAUCAUCUUUGAUUUUUUAUUUUUUUAUUAUGUGUAUCUUUGUAAAAGAUUUGCAAACUAUAUGUUGUGGAAUUAAUUUUACUUCGCAGAUAUUGUUGUUUUUAAAAUUCUUUAGUUUGCAAAAAAUGAGAGAUGCAUAUUUUUGUUUGAUAAAAUAGUAUGUCAAAUUGUUAUAGUUGGAAAACUAUUUGAUAAGAAAAACAUUUUUAUGUGAUAAAGAAUAUGUGUUAUUCUGUUUGGAGAAAAAAAAAGAUUUUUGUAGUUUUGUACUCCAUGAGAAAUGUUAGUGUGUCUGAUUUUUGAAGACUAAAAACUUUUGUGGUUUUAUACUCUAGAUAAAUUGGACUUUGCAAUUGGUUUGAAGAAUAUGAAAACUUCACAUAAUAAGUUAGUGUUGUACUUUUGAUUUUCUAUAAACUUCAAUGUAACAUAGAAAUAAAUUGUACAAUUUUGUUUUGUCCUUAUUGCUAAUAUUUAAAAUACUAAGUGGCAAGUCUAUUUAUGAUAGAGAAAAAAUACCAGUGACUUAGAAUUUGUAAUUUUGUGUCUCUAUGGAAUGAACUUUGACAUUGUGUAUACAUUGUCAAAGAGAAUUGCAACACUAUAAUUCUUUCGUAGAAUAAUGUUUUCAACAUUAAAAUAUGUGGAAAAACUAUUUUCAAAUACUUGAAAAAUAUUUUUGAGAUCACAUUUGAAAUGUGGGGGUUAUUUGCUUAUGAUUAGACUUGGUGUCUAAUUUAACUUUGGAACAAAAGAUAUGAAAUUCAAUGAUACUUUUGUAUUAUGUUAUACCCACAAAAUUCUUGGAGUAUAUUUGGUAUUGUGGUUGUUGAGUUUCUCUAUUACUAGUAUAUAGUGUGACUAGUAUGAAACAUCCAAAUUAUAUAUAUACUUGAUCAAAAUAAUUAUGUUCUUUUAUGUAAAAAAAAUCACUUAAAAUGUUGUGAUUUUUCAUGAAAAGAUAUGUCUAUUAUAAUAAAAGUAUUUUCAUAGACAUGAAUAUUGAUGAAUAGUCAUUUGUUAUGUUUUUGUAAAAAUAACAGUUGGACUAUAUUGUCUUUAUUGAACCCGAUGAAACUUUAUUCAUAGGUAGUUCUAUAACAAUCACAUUGAAAGUUAUGAAAAUGUCCUUCUGAAAAGUAUAUUGACAAUCUAAAGAAUGUUUCUAUCACACAAAGUUGUAAGAAAUAGGAACAAAAUAUUAGUGAGGAAAAAGCUACCUCGCGAAGAGCUUUUCAAACUCAAUGUUUUUAUUUGUUCUUACUUGCUUGAGUCAAUGUUUGUGACAUGAACACUUGGGGCAUGUCAAUUACAAAAACCUUGUAAGAAAAACUGAUCAACUUAGAAGUUUUGCCUAACUUUGAGUGCAAUAAAUAAAAAUGUCAAGUUUUUUUUGGAAUCUAAGUAUGUUGAGCAUUCUUAUAAAUCUGUUGAAAGAAAUUCUAAUAGCUUAGAAUUGAUUUACACUGACAUUUAUGAUAUGGAGUUAACACCAUCUCAUGGUGGGAAAAAGUAUUUGUUACUUUUAUUAAGAAUUGCAUUAGAAAUGACUAUUUCUAUUUGCUAAAUGGUAAGGAUGAAGAAAUAGAAAUGUCUAGACAAUGUAAUAUCGAAGUUGAAAAUCAGUGUGAAAAAAUAUAUAAGAAGUGAUAAGAAUGGAGAGUAUAAAUCUCAUUGUGCAGAAAUAUGUUUGGAAAGUAAAAUAUCAAACUACUGCCAUAUUCACCUCAAUCCAAUGAAAAGACGAACGUUGAUAGAAACGAUGGAUGCAUUAUUUAUAAGUUCGGGUUUACACAAAACUUGUGUGGAGGAACUAUCCUUACUGCAAAAGGGAUCAACAAAAAGUUUUGUCCUUUUAGAAAGAAAACUUGAAAUAUUUCAAAGUGUAGGGUUAUCUAGUCAAAGUCCAAGAUCUUAUUCAUAAAAGAAUUAAAAUAGGACCUAUGACUGUGGACUGUAAAAUUAGACUUGAGUAGUCUAGAGAAGGGUCUAAAAGGCCUAGGAAAUGAAAAGGAUAAUGUACUUAAUAAAGAGAUUCAGAAUCUUAGUAAAAUGUAAAAGGACAUUUACUUCCUUCAAAUAUGAUUUUGUAACAUUUUCUGUGUCUUCUAUAGACUAAUCCUUUGGAAAGAUAGUGUCAAUAAACAAUAUUGAAAGUUAAUUGAUAUUCUUCAAGAAAAUAAACCUUUGGGUUCAAAAUGAAUCUUUAGAAUGAAAAAUAACAGUUGAUGGAACUGUUGAAAAAUAUAAAGCAAGACUUUGUGUCAAAGGCUUUAGAAAAAAAAUAAGAUAAGUACCUUUUGAUCUUGUCGAUAUAUAUACUCGUUAGUAAUUAGAUUUACAUCCAUUCGGAUGCAAAAAUUAUUACUGUGGUAUUGACCUCUAAAUUCAUCAAAUGAAUGUGAAAAAAACUUCCUUAAAUGUAGAAUUGGAGGAAGAAAUUUACAUGGAACAACCCGAGGAUUUUGUGGUACCUGGUAAAUAAAAGAAAGUAUGUGAACUUGUUAAGUCACAUUAUUGAAGCACCAAAACAAUGACAUAAUUCAAUCAUACCAUGUCGUCAAAUGGAUUGAAGAUUGAUGGAAGUAAUAAAUGUGUUCACAUUAAUAUCAUAAGGUCAUUGUUUGUUUGUAUAUUAAUGAUAUGUUAAUCAUCAAUAGAGACACUAAUGACAUAAAUGCUACUAAACGUAUGCUAUAAAGCAAGUGGAAUGAAAAUUAUUGGAGUUGCUAAUGCGAUCUUAGAUAUAAGAAUUCGUAGAACUCCAUAAUGUUUAGCAUUUUCACGGUUUUAUUGCAUUGAAAAGGUACUUAACUAGUUCAAAUAUUUGAAUGUCAAUAUUGUCAAGUGUCCAAUAAAUCUGAGUUUUGCAUAUCGAAAGAGUGAAAACAAAAGUGACUCACAAUUGGAUUAUGCUAGAUUUUUGGGAAGCAUGAUGUAUAUCAUAUAGUGUGUGCGAUCAGAUAUAGAAUUUGCUAUUUUAAACUGAGUCCGUUCACAAGUGAUCCCAAAUAAAUUCAUUAGAUGACAAUAAAUAGAGUUUUGGAGUAUUUAAAAUAAUACUUAAAACUAUGUCUUGCAUUAUAACAAUAUCCAACAUUAUUGAAAAAUAUAGUGAUGCAAAUUGAAUCAUCGGAAGAAUGAAGUAAAAUUCACGAGUGGAUAUGUAUUUACUAUUGGUAGAGGACCAGUCUCUUAGAAAUAUUUCAAAAGAGACAUGUAUCGCUAGCUCUACAAUGAUCUUUGAGCUAGGUGCUCUAGAUAAGGUCGGUGAAUAAGUUAAAAGACUUCAGAAUUUCUUGAUAGAUAUUCUAUUUUGGCCCAAACCAUUGGCAUUAGUAUGCAUACACUUUCACAGUCAAGAUGCAAUAGGUAGGGCAUGGAGCAUGACGUAUAACGGAAAGUCUCGUCAUAUAUGACAUAGAUAUGAUACUGUUAGAAAACUACUCUCUAGUGGAAUUAUUAGAAUAGACUAUAUAAAGUCAAAGGAUAAUGUGUCAGAUCCACUUACAAAAAGGCCUAACUAGAGAGAAAGUUAAAAGAUCAUCUAAGGGAAUGAAUUUACGGCAUAGGACAAGUCAUCAUGGCGGUAACUCUAUCUAGCAGACUAGAGAUCCCAAGAUCUAGAUUCAAGGAGAAAAACAAAGUUGUGAACGACGGUUCGGCAUUGUCAAUAAAAUCAAUCUAUUCUCAUGAUGAAGACAAUGCUCAGGGAAAAGGAUACAACAUUAAGGCUUCUUAAUGAGUUAACACGGUUAGAAAUCACCUAUGUGAGUGUGAAGUGUAAGCCGCUUCAAAGAAGAUGAUUGUCAAAAGCCCAUAUCUCUAUACACUCAUGAAACCAGGAGGUGUUUAUGCCGUAAGAAUCAUAAAUGGUAAAGGGUUAAUUGUGUGACAUAUGGUUGUCUAGGUAUACACCAAAGUUCGACGGUUCAAAGAUAUCACAUCUACCGAUUGACCGAGUAUAUCCGACAUAUGUUCACUACGGAAAGUCCAAGGGGAAACCUACUUAUCCAGAUGCAGCUAAUUCUUGCUUGUAAAGUACACAUACUUGUCCAUUUCUUUGUCUUCGAGUCAUUCCCCAUUCAUGCGGGGGAUUGUUGGAUUUUAAAAAGGUGUGAAUGGAAAAUGAAGAGUUGGGACUUUUAUGAAGAGUUAUGACUAUUAUGAAAUGUUGCGACUUUUAUGAAAAGUUGUGACUUUUAUGAAAAGUUGCGACUUUUAUGAAAAGUUGUGACUUUUAUGGAAAGUUGUGACUUUUAUGAAAGGUGACGACCUUUCUGAAAGAUUGUGACUUUUCCAAAGGUUUGUGACCUUUCCGGUAAGGCACAAUAAGAACCUUUUCGCACUAUCCUUUGUUGUCUAUAAAUUGAGGGAUUUCCUCUUAUUUUGAAUAUAAUUUAUGGACUUCUUCUUCAACUACAAAAUCUAGUAUUCUAAGUGUUCUUUACUGUCGUUGAGUGGUUCGCUGACACCGGAGUUUUUGGUAUCUAUACACUGGUGAUUAAAAUCACUACCCUGGGAGGUCAUAUUCCAAAUCAAACCACGGAUACUAGAGGGAAAUAAUUUCCUUAAGGGGACACUGUGAAUUCAGUGGACUUCAUCUUUUUCCUAUUAAAAAAUUUCCAGAUUCUGGUACGUGUUUUACAAACUUUAGAUUUGUGAAUUAAUUUCAAUUCUUCUAUUCUUUUGUUCUUCACUGGUUCAUUAAACUUGGUAACAUCGUGUUUCUGCGAAGUUUGUUGGAAUCAGUAAGAUUUAUUAGACACAUAUUAACAAUAAUUUUUCUUUAUGAAAAAUAUUUCGUAUAUUUUUUUUAAAAAAAACUGUUUUUGAUUCUAGUUUCGCUACUAGUUUUAAUUUUCUAGUUGUGAAAAUGUUCUUAAACUUUGUUUUCUUACAAAGAUGUUCAAAUUUUUGUUCAAAGUAUGUUUGGAAUACAAGAUGAACAGCACAAGUGGCAUCAACACAACAAGUAGUAAUAAAAUUAAAAGAAUGGACUAACCCUGCAUAAGUUAGAAAGACUGGGGUCCUUAGAUGGCUUCUGUUGGAUUCACCUUCAACAAUUGUAUUUGUAUGACCUGUUGGAACAUUGCUAUAGGUAGAAAGACCUUGACCUAUUAGUUAUUGUCAUUUGGUGUAGCUGGAGGUAUCUCGGAGAUGGUUGGGCUAAUACUUUGAGUUGACGUUUCAAUAUUGGUCGGGGUACCACCUUGUUGAGGAGAAACUGUUGUGUGCUUGGAAAUAGUUGACAUGUUUACACGAAUAGCAGGAUUAUUCUUACCUGAGGAUUUUCCACGACCUCUGCCUCCAGCCAUACCUAUAAACAAUAAAACCAUUUUUGUUAGAUAAUGAAAUUACAUAGAACAAUAAUGGUGAAAUAUAAAAAUUGUCUCUGUAAUUAAGAGAUUAUUGAUCAAGUAAAAUAAAUUAGUACUUUGAUAUACAAGAGUAACUAUCUAAAAUAAAAGUAACAACAGCGAAGGGAUCAUGAACUUCUAUCAGAAGCUUUACACAAAGAAUAUGCUUCUGAUAAGGCUCCAGAACAUUGUUGUGGGUAGAAAGACCCUAACAUGUUCGGUUACUCUCAUUUGUUGUAGCUGGAGGUGUCUCAGAGAUGGUUGAGCUAAUACUUUGAGUUGACGUUACAAUACUGGUCGGCGUACUACCUUUUUGAGGAGAAACUCUAGUGGGGUUGGGAAUAGUUGAUCUGCUUACACGAACAACAGGAUUACUCCUACCUGAGGAUUUUCCACGACCUCUACCUCCAGCCAUAUCUAUAAAUAAAUAUAACAUUGUUGUUAGAUAAUUUGGAACAAAGAUGAAAUAUGAAAACUGUCUGUAAGAGCUUGUUGAUAUGAAAUUUAUCAUGUGCUUCUGAUAAGUCUACAGAACCUGAUGGUUACACAAUUAUUGUCAAGUAAUGUCAUUCAAUUCAAAGAAAUGAUAAAAAAUUUAUGUUACAAUAAGUCUCUCAAAGAUUUAAUUAGGAAUUGAAAUAAGAAACAAAACACAAGUAGUUUAAAGACAAGAGCUAUUUCUUUUUAGAUCCUAAACUGAAAAUUAGUAACAAGCACAAACUGUGGACCAAAAGGUACUCUCAUUCAUAUUCAUCAAAUAAGAACAAAACAUGCAUUUCGGCAAAACAAAAACAAUUUCUAAAGUUUUUCACUAGGCAGACUUAGUCCCACAAAAUUUAUGACAAAUAAAAGGUAUUAAAGCAUUAAAUUUGAUUUACAGUACAAACAAACACUUUUCAGUGUGUGAGAAACUAGAGCAAGAAAAGAAUUUGGAGUCAAUACUACAUUUCAUCAGCAACAAACAGAAGCACAUUACAUGAAAAAGUUUCCACUGAACAUUAGUAAUUGUAUUAUCAAAUGAAAGCAGACAGAAUUUCAUACAUCUAAAAUGCUUAACUCAUGAAACAAUGAAAAAUUAAUGUUCACUAAAUCAGAAGCUAAAAUGCUCUUGAAGCCAUUUCACUGAAUCUAGAAAGAAGUUACUCUAUUGUAUACUUAAUAGCUUAGUAGCUAUUAAGUAUAAUAAAUAAAUAAGAGAUGAGGAAUGAAAGGAUAACUAUUAGCUACCAAAUAAAAUUUUAGCAGAUAGAAACAUGAAUUCGAUUCAUAGAAUGAUCAGGGGAUUUGAAAAACAAGCUACUAACGUACAUCAACAAAAAAAAACAUUCACCUUAAUUAGUUAACUUCAAGAUUAUAUGCUUAUUUUGAAUAGAAAAGCAUCAUUAACAGUAGCAAAACUGAAUGUAAAGCAUAGGCUUACAGAUAAUGAAACAAAGAACAUAGAUUCUACAACAUAGCGAAGAUUAGUCACCGAAAAAGGAUUCAAACAAAGAGGAACAAAUAAGCGUCAAUACUAAAUUCUAAACGAUAAAUGUCAACUUUCACAUUAAUAUGAAUCAAGGAAAUCCAUUUAGAACACAUGUGUAGCAAAUUCAAGUCAUCAGUUCUCAUCUACAAACAACAGUGUUACAACAACAAACUAGCGAGGCAUAUCAUGAAUAGUAGAAAACAAGAAGAAGAUUACGGAGAAAACGUUACUUUUCUCCAGGCAGUGACUAGACAGUGAAAAGCUUAGAGACUUUUUGUCACUGUUAUUUCGAGAUAUCGAGAAUUCGUCAAGAAAAGUAGAAGCAAGCAAGGUUAAAGUCUAAAAAAUUGAAAAAUAUUCAAAAUAAGAAAUUAGAGCGAAGUAGAAGCAAGCAACACUAACGAAAGAAAGUAAAAUAUUAAACACAAUAGUUAACUCAAUCCUUUCAACACUAAAAUAAAAGACACAAGGAAAACACAUACAUUUCAUCGAAAUCGUGAUAAAAGUUUAUAGCUUUCACAUAACACCUUUAGAAAAAAACGUAGCAAACAACUAGUGUUGAAGCCUCUACUAACAAUUUCAUACAUAAGAAGAGACUAAGAACAAUAGAAAAUAUCUUCUUUUGUUAAUGAUUGUAGAAGCUAAUUUAAGCCAUUGAAACACCUCAUUCUCAUCUCAUAUCUCAUUGUGAAUUUUAAAGUAGAUAGAGCACACACUUUUUUCUUAAAACAUCAUUGAGAUAUGUAUCCAUCAUUAAAAUCUAAUUGCUAAAUCAUGUCAAUGCCUAUUUAUCUUUUUUAGACUCUCUUUUUCUAUCAACUUUUAGCAAGUUAUAGCUAUAAGAUUUACUAAGCUAGCUGCAAUGCAAAAAAAUAAAAUAAUAAAUAAAUACAAGAAUCUUAUAAUGUGUAUAUCAAUAACAAGUAACAUUUUAUUUUUGAAACACUAUUUACAAGCUUUUGGUGGUGAAGAAGAAGAAGAAAUUUCAUUAGAAGUGAGUUUACCGGCGAUUUUUCGCUGUGUUAGAGUGAGUUCAGUAGACAAUGUGGUUGAUCAAUAUGCCUAACAUCAUGUAUCCACGAAAAUUUACAAAAGACUAAUGGAAUUCCUUGAUAACCCCAUCCCGUUUCCCCAGCCAUUUUUCACCAAAUAGAAGUCAACACCCUCCUCUUCACCGCACUAGAAGCUCACCGAACAUAUGAAAAACAAAAAUUACCAAAGGUAGAAGCUCACCUUUCACCUGAGGAUGAAGGAGACGGGAUAAAUUUCACCGUGAACCUAAGACGGGAACAAUUUCACCUCAGAUGGUAGCAAUCGAAACGAGAGGGAGACAGGAGCAAUUGAAAAGAAAAGGAGACAGGAGCAAUCGAAUUAUUACCUCUCAUUGAGUUGUUGCGCUGCUCUUGGGGCGUUUCACUGAGAUAAUACCCUAUUUUUUAGGGAUUGUAAUUUUUGUUUCCUUUUUGUUUUUCAAUGGACUGAUGACUUGGUAAAAAUUAUUGCAACGAACUUAGCGAUGGAUAAAUAAAUAUAAUUAUUUACAUUAAUUUUUAGAGACGGAUAUUUCCGCCACUACGUAAUUUAAAUUCCAUAAAAAUAUAUUUAGAUUCUAGCAACGUUUGUCCGUCCCUACUUCCAUCACAAUAUAUUAUUAAAUUUGUAAUACCUACUUUGUUGCAAAAUCUAUAGCGAAAUUUAAGGCGCCAAAGUUUCCCGCUAUUAUUUCACGACAAAAAACAUAUUUUGUCGCCAAUCCGUUGCUAUAUUAUAACUCAAAAGAAUAUUUGUAAAUUUUGCAACGAAAUGACUACUUCGUUGCUAAUCCAUUGUUAUAUAGUGACGAAAUUGAUUCCGUCGCUAAACAUUAUUCUUUGUAGUGUAACAAAUUGAAUGUUAUGGAAAGGUCCUUCUGCAAAAGACAUCUGGCAAGGUGUUGACUCUAAAACAAUGUUUGUAUUUGACAAAGUUAUAACAAUUAAAGAACAAAAUAUUUGUGGGAAAUGUUACCUCAUGGAAGAUCUUUUCAAACCAAGUAUUUUUGUUUGUUCUUACUUGCUUGAAUUAAAUUGUUUGUGACAUGAACAUUUGGGAAAUUUCAAUUACAAAACCUUGCAAAAACUAAUCAACUUAGAAGUUUUGUCUAACUCCUAGUGCAAUAAAUCAAAAUGUCAAGUAUGUGUUAUUGAAUGGAACUUUAACCCUUAGAAUUGAUUUACACUUACAUUUUUUAUGUAAAGUCAAGAUCAUCUCGUGGUGGAAAAAAUGUUUCAUAAAUUUUAUUGAUAAUUGCACUAGAUAUUGUUAUGUCUAUUUGCUUAAUAAUAAGGAUGAAGCAAGAGAAACAUAAGCAAUAUAAAACUGAAGUUGAAAAUUAAUUAGAUAAAAAAAUUGUCAUGAUUAGAAGUGGUAGGUGUUGAAAAUAUAAAUCUUCUUUUGCAGAAAUAUAUUUGCAGAAUGAAAUCAUUCAUGAAUACACAUACUCACCUUAAUAUAAUGAAAUUAUUGAGAGAGAAAAAAUAUGAACUUUAAAGGAAAUAUUGAAUAUCCUACUAACGAGUUCAGGUUUACCACAAAAUUUAUGGGGGAUGCUAUAUCAUUAUAGCAAAAGAGAAUAACAAAAAGUUUGUAUGUUUAGAAAGAGAGAAACAAAAAAGAGUAACAAAUAAAAAAUUUUAUUUGUUAAGAAAGGGAGCAACAACAAGUUGUGUUUGUUCAGGCUUUAUUAUAUCCUGAUAGAGAAUUGCUUGUUGCCCUUAAAGUAUAUACAAUCAAUAACACCCUUGAAAGAUAGUGAUCUAACCAUUUCCAAUACAGUCUAUUUCAUAUGAGAAAUGAAAAUGAGGGAACUAUUUUCAAACAAGUCAAAAUAGGACCUAUGACUGUGAAUUGUAUGUUCAUUGAAUAUGCUACAAUGAGUAAAGCAUAUUAAUUUAUGUUUCAUAAGCCCGAAACGUCAGAUUGUCAAAUAAAGGGUCUAAACGUCCUUGGAAAAAAUCAAAAGAGAAUGCACUUAAUAAAGAGAUUCAGAGGCAUAGUAAAUGUCAAUGGACAAAUUAUUUCCUCCGAAUUAGAUUUUGUAAUAUUUCUUCUUGAAACUGAGUUCAUACAGUCAAACAAGAUUUGUCUUGUGUGGAAUCAUUCUUUUUGGAAAUAGGUUGUCAAUUGGUAGAAUAAAUUCAAUUUUGAGCAACCAACUUGAGAGUUGGUUUCUUUCUCCAAGAAAUAAACAUUUGGGUUCAAAGUGGACCUACAAAAGGAAAAGAAAGUUGAUGAAAUGUAAACUAUUGACAAAUAUAAAGAAAGACUUGUUUUCAUAUGUUUGGACAAUAAAAAAUUCUUGAUUAUUUUGAUACAAAAUUGCCACUAACUAGGAUUACAUCAAUCCAAAUGUUAGUUGCGCUAGUUGCAGUAUAUGGCCUUCAAAUUCUUCAAAGUGAAUGUGAAAAUAAUUUUUUUUAAAAAAUAAAAAAUUGGAGGAAAAAUUUACAUGGAACAACCUGAGGGAUUUGUAGUUCGUGGUAAAGAAAAAGUCUGUAAACUUGUUAAGUCACUUUGUGCAUGCGCCCAAAUAAUGACAUGCGAAUAUUGACCAAACUAUGUUGGUAAAAGAAUUCAAAUUAAUGAAUGUGAUUAAUGUUUUUACAUUAAAGACAGUUCGAAUCAAAAGGUCAUUAUUUAUUUCUAUGUUAAUGACAUGUUGAUCAACAAAAGAGGUAUUUCUGACAUAAAUGCUACUAAGCAUGUGCUAGAAAGUAACUUCGAUAUGAAAGAUAUUGAAAUUAGUGAUGUGAUUAAAAAAGUACUUGACAAGUUCAAGUACUUGGAUUUUAAUAUUGUCAAGACUCCAAUAGUGUGAGCAAUCUACUUCAAAAGAAUGAAGGCAAAAGUGACUCACAAUUGGAUUAUGCUAGAGUAUUGAAAAGUAUGAUAUAUAUCAUGAAGUGUACGCGAUCAGAUAUCUGUAGCAUUAUUAGUAAACUGAGUCGGUUCACAAGUAAUUUCAAUCAAACUCAUUGGAUGACAAUGAAAAGAGUUUUGAAGAAUUUAAAACAUACUUAAUACUAUUGUUUUGCAUUAUAACUAAUAUUUAACAAUAUUGAAAGAAAAUAGUGAUGCAAAUUGAAUCACCAGGUCAAAUAAAGUAAAAUUUACGAAUGAAUAUGUAUUUACUCUUGAUGAAGGAGUAGACUCUUGAAAAUCUUUCAAACAAAAAUGUAUGGCUCACUCUACUAUGAAAUCUGAGUUUAUCACUUUACAUAAAGCGGGUGAAGAAAUUGAAUGACUCCAAAGUUUCUUGAAAGAUGUUUUCCCCAAACCUUUAGCUCAUGUAUGCAUACACUGUGAGUGUUAAUUUGCAAUAGGUAAGGCAUGGAAGAUGAAAGUAAGGGUGGAAGAUGAAGCAGAAUUUCAAAUGAAAUUGAAAUUAAAGUAACAAAAUUAAAAUAAGUCAAAUAGUAAGAGAGAGAAAUUUUUAAAAAAAUGAAAAAAAUAUAUAUUUCAAAUUAAAUUAACAAGUGUCACACAAUGAUCGGUGUGUGAUAACACUUGUGAUUUAAAAUUUGAAAUUGAUCGAGAAAUGAUGUAAUAAUAUAUGUUCGAAAUGUUAGGUUGUGGAGCCUGAUUGAUAUAUAUUACUGUUAGGUUGUGGAGCCUGCACUAUUUAUUCUCCAUUUAUUUUGUAAUACCCCACCGCCGUGGAAGUUUACUCACGGGGUGUUACCACGAAAUAUUGGUUUCUCUCUUUCUCUCUCUAGAUCUCUCAUCUCUUUCUCUUGAAAAGUUUUUGUGUUCUUCAUUCAUCAAGUGUGUGCGUGAAUUCGAUUCUAACACGAAAUUGUUUAGGGAGAUAAUAGGACACAUGCAUAGUUAAGAUGUUUUUUUAAAAAUUCGAAAAAACUUCAGGUGUUACUUUAUGUCUUUUCUCUAUAAUAUAUUGAAUUUAAAAUGUAUUAUAACCAUUGUUUAUUUUUUCUCAUAUUAACGGUAUUAAAAUCUGUUAUUGUAUUAAAAAUUAUUUUAGUUAUAAAUUUGACACGUGCAUUGAAACAUACCUAUAAUAUGUAUUAUAUAUUGAAUUCAAAUGUAUUACAAUUGUUACUUUUUUUCUCCUAUUAAUGGUGUUAAAAUAAUAUAUUUUUGUAUUAAAACUAUUUAAGUUAUAUAUUUACAAUGUGCAUUGGAAAAUAAAUAUAAUAUGUGUAAUAUAUUGAAUUCAAAAUGUAUUAUAGGUAUAAUCUAUAUUUAUUUAUUUUAUUAAUGAUAUUUAUAUAUUUUUAAAAAUAAAUGUUAAUAUUCCAAACACCCUUAAGCAUUAAAAUAAUUUAAAUUUAAAAAAAAAAAGAGAGAGAGAGAGAGAGAAAGACAGAGAGAAUGGCUGAAGAAGGGACAAGAAUGAAAAAGAGAAAAAAGAAAGAGAAACAAAAUGACUUUAAAAAAAAAAAGGAGAAAAAAAAUGACGGAAGAAAAGACAAAAAUAAAAGAGAAAAAAUAAUGGAAGAAAAUGUAUUAAUGGAAGAAAGAAUAUAAAGAAAUAAUGUAUUUUGUUAUGUCUAGUAAUAAAAUUAAUGCCAUUAAUUAAUAUAUUAUAUUAUAUUAUUUAUGUAAAAUGACCCCUAAAUAAACUGUAUACGAUAUUGGCAAUUUUUUGCGGGAAACUUACCUAUAUAUACUAUAAUAAAAAAAAUAUUUACCAUUUAUAGCAACAAUAUUUUUUUUCACUUGAUCACUUUUAAUUCAUUUAUAAUACAAGUUUAAUACAUAUUAUAAAGACCAAUUUAUUAUUCACAUAUAAUACAAAUUUUAAUGAUGAAUAAUUCAUUUAUCAUACAUUUUAAUACAAUUAUAAUACAAUGUGACAAUUUUUAACCAAACAAACAUGAUAUAUUUUUAAAAAAAAACUAUUAUAAUGCAUAUAUAUUUCAUAUAUAAUUCAAUUUUAAUACAUAUUACGAAUUUAUUACAAUUUUGCUAUAAAUGGUAAUAAAUAAAAAGUAUUACUAAAAUCAGUAAUUAUUUUUUAAAAUGUAUUAAUUUAUGUAAUUUUUCCAUUUUUGGCCCUCCGGAAUGGUGUUGGGCUUCAUUGACAAGCAACAAAAGAGAACUUUAGUAUCAAGCCCAUUAAUAUUUAUUUUGUGUAUUGUGUAAAGAUAACCCAUUUGCUUGUACUUAGUUUAGCAUUAUCUCGAAUGAAUAAAUAUUUCUAUUAUAUUUAUUAAUUUUCUCUAUAAUUUAAAUUAAUUAUAUUUUGUAUCACUAAAUUAGUAGUUCCAUAAAAGAUUUCAAGUUAAAUACACCUAGAUAUAUGUUUUUUACACCUAGAUACAUGUAUUCUGCUCCUAGAUACACUGUAAUAGGGAGAGAGACGAGCAAAAAUAGGAGGAAGGCGAGCGAGAUUUGUCUAUAUAUCAUAGAUACAUGUGAAUCAUACUUGAUACGUACACACUAAAUACAUGUAUCUGGUGUAAUUUGCAUGUAUCUGGAAUACCAAAUACGUAGAAAGUGGUGAGGAGAUUUGUCUAUGUAUCUCACAUACAUGCAAAUCCACUAAGAAUAUCUAGAGUAAAUUACACCUAAUUUUGACCUUUGGACGCAUUUGGACAGACUAAACUCUAAUAAUGUUCAUAAUAUUGCAAACUAACGUAAAUUUAAGUAAUUAACUUUUAAUUAAUAGAAUUUAUGUAAAUUACUCCAAUUCGUCCUAUUGUAGAGAUGUAUUAUGUGUAUAUACUUUGGGUAGAGCUGUCAUUUUCACAAUAAAUAAAGUCUCUCCUUUCAAUUAGUGUAUGAUUUCAACCCUUAACGCAUUCAAGUUAACGUAAGUAUUUUGCUUGUAGAUUAGAUAUAUAAAAUUUAGUUCGUUUCAAAAAUUAUAUAAGGUUUAUCUGAUUAUUCAGAGUCGAAUUUGAAACUUAAAAGUCAUAUGCCUAAAGUUAGUAGUAAAACGGCAAAACUUUAUAAAAGUUGAUUGUUCUUUGAAAUAGCUUUUCUAAAAAUGGUAAUUUGUGCGUUUCAUCCAAAAUUAACUUAAGAGAUGUUUCAAGCGAUGUUAAAUUAAAUGAAAAUUAUAUUCUAUGCUUUUUUUAGAAGUCAUUACAUCGUUGGAACAAUUAUCAAUUAAUUUAUGUCUAAUUUGUCAUUUUUUUUUUGGCAGAAAAUUCCCACAUCUAUUAAUCUAAAACAGGAAAUUGAAGUUUUAAUGUAUAUCAAAAUGCCAAAUACAUGUUAAAUGUACCUUAAUUCAAUAUUUGUUUUUUUAAUGUGAUUGUAAUGAUACAUACAUAUUAUUAACGUCUAUAUUAGGAAAAUUAUAAAAAAAAAAUCAUUCUUAUCUUGGUGAGUUUAGUAGUAUUAUACUUAUACGAUAUAGUCAUUUAUAAUAAUAUCACAAAAGAACACGUAAAGCAUCUGCGUAAAAGUAUUUAUCAUAAAUCUAUUGAGUGAAAACUAAAUUAAGAAAAUUUUAUUUUUUAAUGUCAAUUGAAUUUCGAAAACUUCCAUCACUUGAUCUUGAUAUACCUGAAUUUCAUAUGCAUAUUUCUUUUUUUAAAAUUCGUAUAUCUAAAGUUAUCUCAAAAAUAAAUAGAUUUAUUGAUAUUUAUGUACUGUGGUUAUAGCUUAAAUACGGCCUCAAAAAUUUAAAAAUUGAUAUAUAUGUACUGUGGUUAUAGCUUCGAUAUGGCCUCAAAAAUUUAAAAAAAUUAUACAACAUAGUUUUGUAUGUUGUAUUAUUUUAUAAUAUACAGUUGUCAUACUGAUAUUUUUACAUGUUACUAUACUGAAGAUAAAUAUAAAAAAUUAUUGACAGUCUGUAGCUAGUCUUAAUUGGUCCAAUUAAUACUAUGCAUUUUACCUGGAUGUUUGACUUUUUUAAUUAACAAUGAUUGAAUAAUGACAUGUGUACUGUGUGCAAAAUUUUAUGGUAUAGUUUUUUCAACUAACCUAUGUUCAUUCAAACUCAAUUAGUUACAAAAUUUAUCAUAAGUCGAGCAAAAAAUUCUUAUAAUAAAAGUGUUAGAACCAAUAAAAACAAAUGUGUGAGGCUAUAAUACAUUUUUUUUCACACAUAAAUAGUACUAUUAUUUGUAUAAUUCAUGUGGAUCUAUAGACAUAUUAAUUAUACUAAUAUUUUAAGAAGUGAUAAAUUAUACUAUUAAAAUAUUGGAAUAUUCUUUAUUUGACCAAAGGUUUAUUCAUUUUUAAAUAAUAAAUAAUUUCUUCAAUUCCAAUUUAUGACACUUUUUGUGUAUAGUCAUUUUUUGAAAAAAAAAUGAAAUUUUUAUAUAUUUAAUAUUAAUUAACUAUCACUAUGAAUUUUACCUUUAAUAAAAUGCUAUACAAUUAUAUAUAUUUUUUAAAUUAUAAUAUUUUAAAAAAUAAUCUUUAUAUUUGAAUUUUUUCUCGCCUCCAAAAGCAAAAUUCAGAAUUGAGAUGGUUCAGGCCUAAAGAGGAUUGAGCCGAAGCAGUUGUCCCAUCAAACACCCUUACUUCCCACUCAUCUAUAUUGCUCCAAUUAGUUCUCUUUCUCCCAAUAUACCGUAAAUAUCUGGACCAAAACCUAGGGUAGAGAUAGUUUAGGCCUAAAAUGGGUUGAUCCGAAGCAGUCAUCCCAUUAAACACCCUUACUUUCCACCAAUUCAUAUUGCUCCAAAUAGUUGUCUCUUUCUCCUAAUUGGAUAAAAAUCUAGACCAAAAUCUAGGAUCGAGAUGGUUUGAAUCUAAAGUGGGCAGCCGUCCCAUUUAACACCUUACUUCCCACCAAUUCAUAUUGCUCUAAAUAGUUGUCUCUUUCUCCUAAUUGGAUAAAAAUCUAAACCAAAAUCUAGGAUCGAGAUGGUUCGAAUCUAAAGUGGGCAGGCAUCCCAUUUAACACCCUUACUUCCCACCAAUUCAUAUUGCUCUAAAUAGUUGUCUCUUUCUCCUAAUUGGAUAAAAAUCUAGACCAAAAUCUAGGAUCGAGAUGGUUCGAAUCUAAAGUGGGCAGGCAUCCCAUUUAACACCCUUACUUCCCACCAAUUCAUAUUGCUCUAAAUAGUUGUCUCUUUCUCCUAAUUGGAUAAAAAUCUAGAUUAAAAUCUAGGAUCGAGAUGGUUCGAAUCUAAAGUAGGCAGGCAUCCCAUUUAAUACCCUUAGUUUCCACCCAUACGUAUUGCUCCAAAUAGUUAUCUCUUUCUCCUAAUUGGAUAAAAAUCUAGACCAAAACCUAGGAUCGAGACCGUUCGAAUCUAAAGUGGACAGCCGUCCCAUCUAACAUCCUUAGCUCCCACCCAUACAUAUUGCUCCAAAUAGAUGUCUCUUUCUCCCAAUUGGGUAAAAAUUAGACAAAAUAUUGUUGAUCAUAUCAAGGGGCCACAAGACUAACAAGUGAGUAGUGACAAUAAGUUUGUCCUAUUAAGAUUAGAUAAACUCUAAAAUGCCCCAUCAUUACAAGUCAACAACUUAUCUUAUAACACUUAUUUUUUUGUUGUAGGUUGAAAGUGGGUGGAGGUUUGAGUAUUUAUUAUACAUAAAAAUAAUAUGCAUUUCCAAAAAGUUAAGUGGGUGCAGCACUAAAUUAGUGGAUGCAAAGUAUCGCUACACUACUAUGCCUUAGUGAUAAUAAAUAGGUUUGAAAUGAGGUGUUUGUUCGAAGUAGUUGAAUAGGAAUCACUAUGAUUAAUUACAAAACUUCGUUUUGUUGCCCACUUGGUCUUAUUCAUUUUCAAAUGAUACUAACUUUGUUUUCGAAUAAGCAAAUACGCACCUAUUAUUGCAAGUAUAAUAGAAAGAAACGAUAAGCUCUCUGCUCUAUUUGCUCGUUGGCUUCACGUCAACCGACCACGACCACAUGUUACACUAUUAUAUAUUAAGAUAAGAAUGGCCAGCAGGGUUACAAAUAUGGAAAGAUACAUAUAUAAAUUUAACAGAAAGCAGUACUGGAAUAGCUCUUAACAACAUUACUAGACAGUAUUUGGAUCAAUGAGCUGUUUUUUGGACCAACACAUCUAGGGGUUUUGAACUGGCUCACCGCGCCUCCUAAUCCAACGAAAUGAUCCAAUAUCUUAUGAAAGGUUCCCCUCUUCACAAUCCUCAGUUCAAGUGCUCCAAUUGCAUUCACUUUCCUGGAGCUCACGUAGCCUGCAUCGAGGAACGAUUUGUCCAGACAGUUGCAGCACUCUUGCAAUAUUUCAUCAGUUGCUUCCCCACUCAGUUCCCAGAAGAUGA